ACGGGAGGCAGCAGUGGGGAAUAUUGCACAAUGGGCGAAAGCCUGAUGCAGCAACGCCGCGUGAGGGAAGACGGUCUUCGGAUUGUAAACCUUUGUCCUUGGUGACGAAACAAAUGACGGUAGCCGAGGAGGAAGCCACGGCUAACUACGUGCCAGCAGCCGCGGUAAUACGUAGGUGGCAAGCGUUGUCCGGAUUUACUGGGUGUAAAGGGAGCGCAGGCGGGGGAGCAAGUCAGCUGUGAAAUAUACGGGCUUAACUCGUAGACUGCAGUUGAAACUGUUCUUCUUGAGUGAAGUAGAGGUAGGCGGAAUUCCGAGUGUAGCGGUGAAAUGCGUAGAGAUUCGGAGGAACACCAGUGGCGAAGGCGGCCUACUGGGCUUUAACUGACGCUGAGGCUCGAAAGUGUGGGGAGCAAACAGGAUUAGAUACCCUGGUA
rnacentral:rRNA from 1 species